UACGUAGGGGGCAAGCGUUGUCCGGAUUUAUUGGGCGUAAAGAGCGUGUAGGUGGCUUGGUAGGUCUGCUGUGAAAACUCGAGGCUCAACCUCAAGAUGUCGGCGGAAACCACUUGGCUAGAGUCCGGAAGAGGAGAGUGGAAUUCCUGGUGUAGCGGUGAAAUGCGCAGAUAUCAGGAAGAACACCUAUGGCGAAGGCAGCUCUCUGGAACGGUACUGACACUGAGACGCGAAAGCGUGGGGAGCAAACAGG
rnacentral:rRNA from 1 species